UACGUAGGGUGCAAGCGUUGUCCGGAAUCAUUGGGCGUAAAGCGCGCGUAGGUGGCUUCGUAAGUCCGUUGUGAAAGUCAAAGGCUCUAACCUUGAAUGCCGAUGGAUACUGCGAAGCUAGAGUACGGAAGAGGCGAGUGGAAUUCCUGGUGUAGCGGUGGAAUGCGCAGAUAUCAGGAGGAACACCAAUAGCGAAGGCAGCUCGCUGGGACGUUACUGACACUAAGGCGCGAAAGCGUGGGGAGCGAACAGG
rnacentral:rRNA from 1 species